UACAUCACCUACAGAUGCCAUUUUGAAACUGUCCUGCAGCUGUGCUAUGUGUUGGUAGUGACGGAAACUUGGAGCACUCACCCAGGACACUUCAGAUAAUACAUACGUAACGUUUCACAUUCGUAGCAUUGUUUUCGCGGAGAAAAAAUGCUGUGCAAUACUUUCUGGGCAACCUCGUACUGAAAUUAAUUCUGUACAGGGACAGGACAGAAAAACUGAAAAGAAGAGCAGAGGUGAGAUUCCCUUGCAAAAUCGUGCACAGUCGGAUGCUCUUGUUGUUGAUACUGAUGUGCCUGCGACUGACGAGAGGGAAGCAAUUUUAGACCAAGGUCCAACAUCUUGCAUAUGUUGCUGUGGAACAUAAUUAUGCUAUACCAUGGCAUGUCAUAACAACACAGCAUACUAGGGUAACAGUGUCGAGAGUGCUGGUUAAGGUCGAUGCUGUUGGAUCAUGGGGCAUCUUAAACAGAGUUGUUAGGAAGGCCAGUCAGGUUCCCUUCCCCAGGUGUGCAGGGUCACUGAUCGGGAAACACGAUCAAAUUUAGCCAUGCUCAGGCCUGUGGCCCUAGGUGUGUAAGUUAUUGGCUAUGCUGCGGUGGCUGUGCCAUCAACCCGCCCCAGAAAAAGCUGGUGAUGGAGUAGUGGCAUUGGCAUCUGGAGAGCAAACCUCAGCCUUGGAAUUCUGGCUGGUGGUCUCUGGCAAUGGGAAUUGGUAAGUGCAUUGGUGUCUGUGAGGAUCCUAGUUUGUCACUCCUCCCAUUGGAGCCAAUGCCUGUACAAACCUGCACCAUUACACCAGGGGCCAACCAGCUGUCUGAUCGAACACGCUGAGCUACCCUGCCGGUGUCCAUCUG